rnacentral:lncRNA from 1 species
UGUGCUUCUCGGUGCACCGGGGCGAGGGCGGCCCCCCCCCGGCGGCGUCCGACUGCGGCGCCGAGGGCUUCGCCAUCAACCUGCCCUGGGAGCAGCCCGGCAUGACGGACGGCGACUACCUGGCGGCCUUCCUGCGCCUGCUGCUGCCGGUGGCCCUGGAGUUCCAGCCGCAGCUGGUGCUCGUCGCCGCUGGCUUCGGCGCCCUCAUCGGGGACCCCGAGACACCCUAUGGAGCCGCUGGGAGCGUUUUGUGGGCCGCGGCGAUGGGUUUUGAGGGGCUGCUGAGCUGCCUUGGGGCGUUAUAUGAACCAUAUAGACUGUUUUUGAGUUCUUUAAGGGUUAUAG